CUGGCGGAUGUCUGAAGUACUUGCCAAGCUUGUGAGUCGGCGCACAUGCGCAGAAACUUUCGUGAGACCGACACCGCCAUAUCUAAGUAUUGCUGACGUCCAGUCCAUGCUUUCGAGGUCCUGAGUUCAAUUCCCAGCAACCAUGUGGUGGCUCACAACCAUCUGUAAUGGGAUCCGAUGUCCUCUUCUGGUGUGUCUGAAGACAGUGGCAAUGCACUCAUAUAAAUAAAGUAAAUAAAAAAAAAAGCCAUAUCCUGGGGUGAUAUACUACAGUUAACAAGAACAGUUAGCCGGAAGUGGAACUAAACUACAGAAGUCAAAAAGCAAGGUUAGUACAUUUAGAGACCUUCCCAGAGCUAUGGGUUUUGAUGGGUUGGGUCUUUGUUUUUGUUUUUUGCAGGUGGUGUCUGUGUGCUGAGUUUUAUGCGUUGUACUUACAUCCUGCAGUCACUUGUGCUAAGGCCUAGGGGCUUGUUAGUAGAAGGCAUCAGGGUGUUGUUGGUUAGCUACUCUGUUGACAGGGCUACAAUCCUGCAUUCUUACAGUUUUCUGUCUCAUGAUGGCCUCUCAUGGGCCUUGCUGAUGGUCCUUGGGUGCUUGUUUAAAUCAUUAACCUGAUUUUCAUCUAGUUUAGAAUAUGUGGGUAUUGGAUAAGUCUAGCCACCUGGUAGAGACCAGUCCAGGUCUGCUGAGUUCCAAACUUGGCCUCCCAUCUGUGACAGAUCCAUAGUUGUCAUUUACUCUGGCUUGGCGGUCAUUUUCUGUUUAGGUGGUGCUCCCAUCCCCUCCAGAAAGGUCUGUUUCUGUUCUAAUAUUAAGACUGUGACCUUUCUGGGCUAGGAUAGUUGCAGAUGUAUUUAAGGAUUUCAUGAUGAAAUCAUCCUUGAUUAUUAAGAUGGGCCUUAAAUUAAAUGACAGUUUUCGUAAGAGACAGAACCUUUGCCUAUCAUAUAAGCAACUGUUAGAUUCCCAGCACUACCAUCCCCCAAAAAGGGGUUGGGGAGGAGAUACUGUGUUUGGCCAAAAACCCACUAUUUUGGGGAGUUCAGCUGAGCGCCCUUGCAGAAAGAUUAUACAAUCUAGAUUUGACUUGUUUACCCUCCAUCAUGGGAGUGUGGGGAGGAUCAUAGGACUCUCAACUUGGUAUACAGUUGUAUGUAACUCUGCCUUAAUUGCAUGUGGUCCUGCUGGGGCUGGAGUAUAUAUAGGCCAGGAAGAUUGGGGGAGCAAGGCUCUAUCUGUGCAGCUAUGACUAUGGGGAAACACUCCUUUCUACUGGAAAAAAGCUUUUCAGAUGGGGCCUAUUGUGGGAGAAACCUUGUAAGUAACAGUAACUCCUCACCUGUGCUUUAUAAGGAAAUCCAACAAACUCAUACUGGUUCCCUAAAGUGAGCUUUGGUGGAAUGUGCCUUGGUUUGCCAUCGGAACCGAAGAAUAGGUAGGCACUGCAUACAUCUUCCCCUUGGAAAAAAUUGUAGUAAUAAGAGGGAAGAGGAGGAGAAGAGGGGGAAGGAGUGGAUGGUAGAGAGGUCUUGUGGUUGUAGACACAGAGAUUGCAGUGAUGUAGCCACACAUCAAGAAAUACCUGAAGGGGUUGGGGAUUUAGCUCAGUGGUAGAGCGCAUGCCUAGCAAGUGCUAAGGCCCUGGGUUCGGUCCUCAGCUCCAAAAAAAAAAGAAAAAAAAAAAAGAAAAAAAAAAAAGAAAGAAAA